rnacentral:rRNA from 1 species
CAAGAGCGUAUGUAAAAGUUGUUGCAGUUAAAAAGCUCGUAGUUGAACCUUGGGUUUGGUUGGCCGGUCCGCUUUUUUGCGAGUACUGGAUUCAACCGAGCCUUUCCUUCUGGCUAACCAGUCGUUUCGGCGGCUGGUGAACCAGGAUUUUUACUUUGAGAAAAUUAGAGUGUUCAAAGCAGGCAUUAGCUUGAAUAUAUUAGCAUGGAAUAAUAGAAUAGGACGUUAUGGUUCUAUUUUGUUGGUUUCUAGGACCAUCGUAAUGAUUAAUAGGGACGGUCGGGGGCAUCAGUAUUCAGUUGUCAGAGGUGAAAUUCUUGGAUUUACUGAAGACUAACUACUGCGAAAGCAUUUGCCAAGGACGUUUUCAUUAA